UCCUCUGUAGCUCAAUCGGUAGAGCGAGUGGCUGUUAACCACUAGGUUGGGGGUUCAAGUCCCUCCGGGGGAGCCA
rnacentral:tRNA from 1 species